UCAUCCGUUUCUCUCUUCUCCCUUCCUCCAUCUUUUGGACGCUUAUUCCAAAGGGCCAACAAAACCAUGAUGACCAUGCUCCGAUGAAGCUCAUACCACCCCUAGCCAGCACACACGAUGGUCACAAAGGCUGAGACUAAACCAAACUGAACUUUUUUUUAAGCUCUCUACUCCUUUGACCGAACCUUUAGAGGACCCUAACCAAAUCACGAAGCCGCCACCUACACUGCCGCAUAUCGGACUAUAUCGGCACCGAUCCAUGCUCCGACCACCAUUAACAACCACCAGGGACAUCAAAAACCAACCCAAUCGACCCAAACGCUCCACUUCCCUCUCUAAACCUCUUUCUAACACUAACAAAAACUUGAGACCCCUCCGGUGAACACCCUCGACGGUUGAGCAAACCCAAACGACCCUAAACUCAAUCCCGGGCUCCUUACUCUGGUGACGAAACCAUAUCAAAUGACACCAUUCUAACUUCGACGAUGGAACCCGAACGGUGACGAGAUGAAGUCGACAAGGCUCCACCGACGUUUGCACAACCCAAGUAAUUCAACCCCAAAUCCCUUUUCUUUUUUAGUUUCAAAAUAAUAAUAGCACACACAAAAAAAAAAAAUUGGACAAAAAAAGAAACCGAAGAAGAAUAUCUCAAAAAAAUGUGUAGUGCUAUGCUUUCUGUGUUUUUGAAUUAUGAGAUUACACUCUCGUUUUUCUUUUGUAUCGAUUUACUCUUUCUAAUGUUUUUUUUUCUACUGCUUUGUGUUACUGAAAAAAAGGAGAAUCCUUGUGUAGCUAAAAACUGCUCUCAAAUCUAUUCUCUUUGUUUACAUGAAUCUUUAUUUCGAAAAGGAAGCCCCUUACAAAAUCCCCUUUUGGGCCCCUUUAUACUUUGUUUUUUACCCGAGAGCGAGAAAUCAAAUUUGUUACAUUUUUUCUCUUUCCUUUCCUCUUUCUGGUUUUCCUCUUUACAUGAUUGAUUCCGUGAGCUGGAGGUUUGUUGGUGUCAGUUUGUUACCAUCUACUGCUGAGAGGAUGAGCCCAAUUGAUAGUGCACAACUGGCGUGAAAGAUAGGUGCCAGCUCGGGGAACUUCUGGAAUGCUAGUGACGAGGCUUGGUUGUUGCUGGGAUUGCUCACGUGGAAGAUAGGGGUAUCUCUACUAAGAUUUCACAACCCUGAUUUUGGGUUUGUUGUUAGGUUUAGUAAUGGGUCCAAACCGGGUAUGGGUCAUUUUGUUUGGGACAAAUGGAUUGGGUUUAAAUUUGAAUUUGAACAUUUAUUUGAGUUUUAAAAAUGGGGUGUUAUGUA